rnacentral:rRNA from 1 species
UACGGGGGGAGCAAGCGUUGUUCGGAUUUACUGGGCGUAAAGAGCGUGUAGGCGGCCAAACAGGUCCGUUGUGAAAACUGGAGGCUCAACCUCCAGACGUCGACGGAAACCGUAUGGCUAGAGUCCGGAAGAGGAGAGUGGAAUUCCUGGUGUAGCGGUGAAAUGCGCAGAUAUCAGGAAGAACACCUAUGGCGAAGGCAGCUCUCUGGGACGGUACUGACGCUGAGACGCGAAAGCGUGGGGAGCGAACAGG